rnacentral:rRNA from 1 species
UACGUAGGGGGCUAGCGUUGUCCGGAAUCAUUGGGCGUAAAGAGCGCGUAGGCGGCCAGAUAAGUCCGGUGUGAAAGUCACAGGCUCAACCUGUGAAUGCCGCUGGAAACUGUCUGGCUAGAGUCCGGAGGGCGAGUGGAAUUCCUGGUGUAGCGGUGAAUGCGCAGAUAUCAGGAGGAACACCAAUGGCGAAGGCAGCUCGCUGAACGGUACUGACGCUGAGGCGCGAAGCGUGGGAGCAAACAGG